UAAGGAUUGUUGAGGAGGUCCAGAAGCAUUUAAACUAGAAAGGAAGAGGGGAGAAAACAAAAAAAACAGAAGGGAGACCACAUCAAAACAAAGGCAACAACUCAGAGUCUGCUGUGAUGGGGGAGAGAGGGCUGCUCAUCCUUCUGCUUGCAGGGUUUUGUGUGCCUGCUUACAAUCAGAUCAUAGAACAUGUACUUGUGGAAACUGUGAUGAGCUGGUCUGCAGCUCAGAGCUACUGUAGAGAGAAGCACACAGACCUGGCCACUGUAUGCAGCCAGGAAGAAGCAGAGCAGCUCUUAAAUAUUACAGGAGCUUCUGUCAUUGCUAAUGCCUGGAUCGGGCUGUAUCGUGAUGACACACAGAACUGGCAGUGGUCUAACAGCGAUGAUGUCAUCUACUCCAACUGGAAGAAAUACCUCUUCUGUGCUUCAGUCAAUUCAGUGGGACUGUGGGAGGACGACGUCUGCUUCGUGAAUAAAGCUUUCAUGUGCU